ACGAACGCUGGCGGCAGGCUUAACACAUGCAAGUCGAACGCACCUUUCGGGGUGAGUGGCAGACGGGUGAGUAACGCGUGGGAAUCUACCCUUCUCUACGGGAUAGCUCCGGGAAACUGGAAUUAAUACCGUAUACGUCCUGAGGGAGAAAGAUUUAUCGGGGAAGGAUGAGCCCGCGUUGGAUUAGCUAGUUGGUGGGGUAAAGGCCUACCAAGGCGACGAUCCAUAGCUGGUCUAAGAGGAUGAUCAGCCACAUUGGGACUGAGACACGGCCCAAACUCCUUCGGGAGGGAGCAGUGGGGAAUAUUGGACCAAGGGCGCAAGGCUGAUCCAGCCAUGCCGGGUGAGUGAUGAAGGCCCUAGGGUUGGAAAGCUCUUUCAGUGGGGAAGAUAAUGACGGUACCCACAGAAGAAGCCCCGGCUAACUUCGUG
rnacentral:rRNA from 1 species